UUAGACACUUCCAAGAUGGCGGACGCUGAAAGUCAACACAGGUCUAUAAUGGCGAAAAGUCGAGCUUAAUAUAAAAAAGAAUAUAUAUAGAGAAAAAAGAAGAAUGAUUAAUCAUACCUUGAAAAGGAACAUUUACGAGCUAAAGGAAACCGAGAGUCCAUUCACAAGCACAAAUUCGUUUGAGAAUGAUACAACAAGAAUGCAAAUGAUGCCUAGAUCACAACAUGAUCUGAAUCUUCUUGGAGUAAAAAAUCAUUCUAGAAAAGUAAUAAAAAAAACUGGAGAUGUCAAAUGCAAUUAUUGCUGAAGGGAGAGAGGCAGCACAAAAAAGCAACAUCUCAGUCAAUGAAAAGAGUAUGAUGAGAGUAGUCAGUGGAAGAAUAGUAAAAAAGUGUAAGUGUUAGACACAAUCAGAAAGCAAACAGGUCUUGAAGGGAGAGAGGCAGCACAAAAAAGCAACAUCUCAGUCAAUGAAAAGAGUAUGAUGAGAGUAGUCAGUGGAAGAAUAGUAAAAAAGUGUAAGUGUUAGACACAAUCAGAAAGCAAACAGGUCUUGGUAGAAAAGGGCUGAAAAGUUCCAACACGAAAAUAGUGAGACCUAUUUGUCGAAAACGACUCGACGAAGAGAGAACAUGAUGAAAACAGAAAUCAUUUAGUUCCUUGAAAGGGAACAUCAUGUCAGUAUUCAGAUGCCUGGGAAAAAGAUACCAAAGACCAUGAACCAAGGUGAUAAGAGACAAGUGCAUAUCCUCAAUCAUUAUCUAGAGAAUAUAUAUCAAAAGUAUAAAGCAGAAAACCUAAACAUAAAGAUUUCUAAAUAAAGUCCAAGACAGUAAAGCCGACAAUGAAAACGUAAAGUGACAGAUGAAAGUUCCUGUUGUUGGAUCAUUUGUUUUGGCUAAAUAUGAGGGCAAACAGUAUGUGGGUAAAGUCCUAUAGGUCGACUCCAAUAAAAAGGAUGCGCAUGUUUCGUUCAUGGAAAAGACCCGUGUCAAAUGGUCGAUACCACUGUUCAGAUGGCCUUCAAGAGCUGAUGAAUUGUGGGUAGACUUUGAAAACAUCAUAUCUUUAAUCUAGAAACCUUCCCCCUAUGGCAAGACCAAAAGGCAGUACAGAUUGAACAAUAAUGACUCUGCUUUCUUUGCUAACUGAUGUUCAGACUGAUGUUCAGUUUACGACAAUUUAACUUUAGAGUUUUUGUGUUAACGUAUAUGAUGACACUUUUUCUUUGACUCCACUAGCAAUAGCAGAAGUACUAGUAUAAGUUAUAUUCACAUAAUUAUGUAAAUUUACAUUGAAUGUGUUUGAGAAAAUGCAGUAUUCUUUAUAAACCACUUUUCCUACUGAAUUUGCAUUUAAACUUUAACCGUAAUAAAUGAUUAAUUUUUAA